UUUUUCGUCCCCCCUCCCUGCUUGUUAGCUGGCCAGGCAGGGGGGCUGUAUUAUUCCCUGGUGGUCCAAUGGAUGGGCUGUGUAGGAGGGAGGCUGGCAGCGAGAUGUAACUUACCUUUACAGCAGCUCAUGUCAGCUCCACCGUAAGUCUCGCGUGGAGCGUUGCCACGGGCUCUGAUGCCUCGGCUCUCGCGAGACUUACACAGGAGGUGACCGGAACGGAGGAGAAGGGAGCUGACAGGAGCUGCUGUAAAGGUAAGUAACAGCUCGCUGCCAGCCCCCAACAGGACUGCCGGGCUUGAAAUGAGCCCAGCGGUCCUGGUCUUUAUUAUGGCCAUAAUACAGAUAUUGACUCGAGUAUAAGACGAUAAGUAUAAGUAUGUGCCGGAAAACUCAUCUUAUACUCGAGUAUAUACAGUAAUUAUGUGAUUUGAUUAAUUAAAAUUUGAUUGACAUGUCUAGCAACACAGGGAGAAAGUGCAGAGAAUUUAAUUCGCAAGCACUAUAUUUGACCCUGUAACUCUCCAGGACAUCAUAAAACCUGUACAUAGUGGGUACUGUUUUACUCGGGAGACUUCACUGAACUCAAAUAUUAGUGUUUCAAAAUGAUAAAUUGUAUUACAACGAUGAUAUUUUAAGUAAAAGUGAAGUUUUUUGCAUUUUUUACAAACGAACGG